rnacentral:misc_RNA from 1 species
AAAAAAAAAAAAAAAAAAGCCUGUUAUAUUUAGGGGGUAAUGGUAAUGCCAUUCCCAGAAAAUUUUAAAUAAUGGUUGUUAUUUAAAUCCAUGUUUUAAGGUUGAGUUCUCCUAAAGCAUUUAUAAGAAUUCCAUGGUUGUUUAUUGUAAAUUGCUAUGAGUUUCUUAUUUAUGCAUGGCUUUGCACUCAGUGCUGGACAUGGGCAGGCAAAAUUGAGUAAAAAUAUCUUUCUCCUUGUAAUUAUGCAAGUGAAUCCCAAUGUUGCUGGCAUAGGCAACCAUCUAACCAAUAAUUGGCAAUUUAGGAGACUUAAAAAAACUUGAUGCCCAUUAUUUGAUUCUUUGUGUGAUUUUCCUUUCUACGAUGGGGACUAGUUCUGGUGGUUUUGGCAUUAGCAUGCAAAAAAUUUUGCUAUUGUGAUUGACUUUAAUUAGGUCUUUUGUGGAAAAUAAUAUGGACUUAAAAAGAUUUACACAUCAAUGUAAAGUUUAUGGACGUGUGAUGUAGGAUGGAAGCACAGUGAAAAACCUCGAUCAUUUCUAAGCCUUAUACAUCCAUUAGUUCACAAGGAAAAUAAAUUAGAAGUCCCCUAGAGAAUAAGGAAAGACUCAAACUAAUUUGAUUAUCUAUCUAGAGGAAUAGUUAGUUUGGAUGGAG